UUGAUUUUAAUUUGUUGCUUUUCUCCUUAUUAUUUACCUUCUUGGGAUGAAUGGUCCUCGUGUCAUUCGAGCUAUGAAAAUGUUUCACUAUCUCAAUGACUUGAUGAUCUAUUAUUAUGUAUCUGAUUCAAUAAAUCAAUGAUAAGCUUUCGCGCAAGUGAUGAUUGAGAACGGUUCUGUGUCAUGCUACUUUGGAGACAUCAUUGCAAUAUACUGGAUGUAAACAUGAGAUAGAAGUAGGUGAUCUUUGUAAAGAGAUUGUAUAUGUACAAAGAUAAG
rnacentral:lncRNA from 1 species